rnacentral:lncRNA from 1 species
UUCUCUUUCUUUCUUUUUUUUUUUUUUUUUUUUACAUUCACUUACUGCAAAGCUACCCCAAACUUAAAGGUUGCUAUUCCAACAGCAACCCCAAACUUAGAUAGAAACGUAGAGCUGAAAUUAAUCCUCACAUACUCUGAAUAGGGUAGGAUAAUUACAAGGUCAUGGAUUGAGAAGAGCGGGUAUAUCAGAAACAAAUGAAUAACAGGCUCAACAGGGUUAAACAAUGGAUAAUAAUAAUAAUAGAUGGGAUGGCUAG